UCAAGUGUUUGAUGUUUGAAUGCUGUACUUGAUUGGUUGGAGAAUUUUCUUAUCUCCAUAUAGAAAACUCGUCCAAAAGGAGGCUUCAUUCUCUUCUUCUCCCCAAAACUAUGUCCUCUCUCAACCCAGAUCCUUGUCUGCCCCUUCUUCUCUGUGUCUCACCCUUAUUUUUUGGGGCUGCUUCUCAGUCUGUUGUUCUGAUUUUGGUUAGAUCUCCCACCUUUGGACCAUUGUUGUAUGUAUUCUUGAUGGGGUUUGGUGGUAGAUCUAGGUAGAUCUCCUUUGGAUCUCUUUCAUGAUUAGUUUUUUUUUUUUUGGUGCAAAAAUUUCAACUGAUUUGCUUGUUGAUAGUUGUCGUUCUUGCAGUGUUCAGGUAGGAUUGUUUAUCACAGAACUUAGAGCAAUGGCUCUUGCCAAAGGUAGGAUUGUUUAUCACAGAGCUUAGAGUAAUGGCUCCCUCCUGCUAAAGGUACGAUUGUUUAUCACAGAGCUUAGAGCAAUGGCUCCCUCCUGCUAAAGG